AAGAUAUCAUCAUUAUUUUAUCGAACGAGCUAUCAGGAAACUUCAAUGGCAGCUUAGUGGUUUCAAUAUCAAAAGCCAUUAUAGUAGGUUCUGCACGCUCGAUUCGGGAAGCUAAAAGGGAUAUUUGAACAUGGCCUUCAUGAUAUGAAACAGUAUACCAUUGUCCGACUCGAAUAUUCAAAUCAAUAAGUGUACGAGAAUGAUACGGAACAUCGUACUCACGGAUAUCUAAAACAUGAUUUAAAGGAUCUUCAAAUGCGUUUUCUAUAAUCCCGUUUAAAUUCUCCGAAGACAAGUUAGUGUAUGCAUCAACGGCAUCUUGUUGGGAAGAAUUAGCUUUCACAGCAGACAUCAAAGACUUCCUGACAGCCUGAAGGUCAUUCAGGUUAUCAAAAACCAACUUUAUAUACAACUUUUGGUAACCCACUAUGUGGUUUUUUAGCUGUAAAUCUUCUUUAAAGAUACGCGUAGUAGAUUUAAUUAAGCCCACAAAUUUUUUUUUUAAAUAAUCGUCAACCAAAGCUUCUUUACCUUCUCGAGCAGCAAUGUAGAAGUAAGGAGAGUAUGGAAUGGUACACCGGAAAGUGUCACCAUCGUCUUGAAUGAAGUAAAAGUCAACGGCACUGAGGGUAGAAUUGCCUUUGGUGCUUUCGAUUACUGUUGGAUGAACGUUGAGAAGCCAAGCUUCUCGUGGUUGUCCACCUUCAUAGCUAUCAAAACCCAUCAUUCGAUCAAUCUCAUUCUUUUUGUAGACAAUUUUCAUAGGAUCAUUGAAGCCAACUUCCUCGGUUGAUUUUGCAAACGUCCUACCGUUCGAUUUACUUUUUCCAUUGUAGUUACCAUUAAAUUUCCUA